rnacentral:rRNA from 1 species
UACGUAGGGGGCUAGCGUUGUCCGGAAUCAUUGGGCGUAAAGAGCGUGUAGGCGGUCCGGUAAGUCCGCUGUGAAAGUCGGGGGCUCAACCCUCGAAUGCCGGUGGAUACUGUCGGGCUAGAGUGCGGAAGAGGCGAGUGGAAUUCCUGGUGUAGCGGUGAAAUGCGCAGAUAUCAGGAGGAACACCUAUUGCGAAGGCGGCUCGCUGGGACGUAACUGACGCUGAGGAGCGAAAGCGUGGGGAGCAAACAGG